AGAAGACCUGCAAAACAUGCACUGUGUGGCGUGAUGAGGACCGAGUUUGCAGACCUAUGGCUUAGAAUAACAAAAGAUUGGAUCUGCUGCCAGUGUUCGUCAGAGCCAUACCAACUGACUCAGGGGGCACCACCAACUGGACAUUAUGAGGGGAUUCCACUUUGACUGACUAUUUUGGUAUAAUUGAUGAUCACCUAUAAUUAUCCUAGACUGGAGCGGAAUCACACAAGUUUUGUUACGAAGGUUCCACUUUCUGUCAGGACCCUGAAUAACCAGCCAGAAGACACAAGAUGGGCGCCUGUUCAAGUCGGCAGCACUGCAAUCAGAGACAUGCAGCCAAAGAAGUGAUGACUAAACUGGAAGCAGAAAACACAGGAAGAAACUUGUAUGGAGUCAUGAAGGAGUGUGCUACAUAUGGUAUAAUAGGAAUAGCUAACUGCACAAUUCAAGGGUGGCAGUUUAACUAAACAAUAAUUUAUUUUUUAUUACAUCAGAGAUAUCUGGAAAAUGCUCAUCUUCACUGUUUAUGUUACUGUUGCGCAUAUGGUCAAUUUAUAGUCCAAUUUGCUGGU